CUUAAGGAGAAGCUUUCUCGCCUCUCUUAAGCUGUCGAUUGUAGAGACGUCAGUCAUAAUCUCUAUAAGUCUCUAAAUUGUUUUGCACAACUUAAACACCGAAAUGUUUUGUUCUUGCUUUUUUCGUAGGUCUCUUGAAUCUUGCUUUCUUUCUUCCAACGUCAAUCUCUCAUUCUCCCUAAUUUUCGCUUCCUUACAAAUUCACGAUCUUGGAGUAGAGACAGUGGUAUGUCCAUAUUCAUUAUCUUGAAAAUUUAUCCAUCCAUAUGAUUACAAAUUCACUUAUAUCAAGUUUAAUGGGUUUUUUUUUGUUUACUUUUAUGUAUAUUAUCCCAAAUAUCCAUUGCGUGAAUGAAUUUGUGAUAUAAGUAUUUCAUUUGUAUGUAUGCAAAUAAUGAAUAAGUUUGUUACUGAACAUGCACAUUAUAUAUUCGUUGAAAUGGCUAAGUCACUAUAUUGUUUAUGAUGUAGACACUGGACAAAAGUUGGAUUGAUGCUCCCAGAUUAAGUGUGGUUUACAUGAAUGGAAUAGCUUCGUUCACUGAAUAUGCCAC
rnacentral:lncRNA from 1 species